CGUGGGUAACCUGCCCAAGAGAUCGGGAUAACACCUGGAAACAGAUGCUAAUACCGGAUAACAACAGAUGAUGCCUAUCAACUGUUUAAAAGAUGGUUCUGCUAUCACUCUUGGAUGGACCUGCGGUGCAUUAGCUAGUUGGUAGGGUAACGGCCUACCAAGGCGAUGAUGCAUAGCCGAGUUGAGAGACUGAUCGGCCACAUUGGGACUGAGACACGGCCCAAACUCCUACGGGAGGCAGCAGAA
rnacentral:rRNA from 1 species